rnacentral:ncRNA from 1 species
UAAAUUUGCUUGUGAAAGCAGACUGAGCGUACAGAAGUCAGCAGACGCCAUAGUACGCAAGAAGUUGCAACGCCUUGCGGAAGGGC